rnacentral:hammerhead_ribozyme from 1 species
ACACUGCUGAAGAGUCCCAUAAUAGAAUGAAACGGCUGUCCAGUAC